rnacentral:rRNA from 1 species
AGGGGAAUCUUGCGCAAUGCGCGAAAGCGUGACGCAGCAACGCCGCGUGAGGGAGGACGGCCUUCGGGUUGUAAACCUCUUUCAGGAGGGACGAAGCCUGGCGGGUGAAUAGCCUGUCCAGGUGACGGUACCUCCACAAGAAGCCCCGGCUAACUACGUGCCAGCAGCCGCGGUAAUACGUAGGGGGCAAGCGUUGUCCGGAAUUAUUGGGCGUAAAGAGCGCGUAGGCGGUCUGGUAAGUCGGUUGUGAAAGUCGGGGGCUCAACCCUCGGAUGCCGAUCAAUACUGUCAGGCUAGAGUCCGGAAGAGGCGAGUGGAAUUCCUGGUGUAGCGGUGAAAUGCGCAGAUAUCAGGAGGAACACCAAUGGCGAAGGCAGCUCGCUGGGACGGUACUGACGCUGAGGCGCGAAAGCGUGGGGAGCAAA